UUUGCACUGUGACAGAUGUGACCUGGACUAAAUUGUGAUACAGUGAAAUAGUUUAAAACAUUGAAAGCAGAAAGAUAGGAGGAAUUCAUAACUUUUCAUCUAAUAUCUUGAUCAUUGGAAAAAAAAGACAAGAUGGAUUUCGGAAAGAUAGUAUCGAUUAUCCUGAUUCUGAUAGUAGCACAUACUACAGUAGAGACAACAACAACUGCCGCACCCACAACAACUCCCGCGCCCACAACAACUCCGGCACCUACAACAACUCUGGCACCU